GACGAACGCUGGCGGCGUGCUUAACACAUGCAAGUCGAACGGAAAGGCCCCUUUGGGGGUACUCGAGUUGCGAACGGGUGAGUAACACGUGAGUAACCUGCCCCUGACUUCGGGAUAACUUCAGGAAACUGGGGCUAAUACCGGAUAGGAAUCCUUGCUGCACGGUGGGGGUUGGAAAGCUUCGGCGGUCUUGGAUUGACUCGCGGCAUAUCAGCUUGUUGGUGGGGGAGUGGCUUACCGAGGCUUUGACGUGUAGCCGGGCUGGGGGGGCGACCUGCCACAUUGUCUCUUAGAUAAGGCCCCGACUCCUACGAGCGGCAGCAGGGGGGAAUCUUGAAGAAUCAACGGCAGCCUGAUGCUGAAACGCCUCGUGCGGGAUGACGCCCUUCGGGUUGUAAACCGCUUUCAGCAGGGGCGAGGCUUGUGGUGACGGUACCUGAACAGGAAGCACCGGCUAACUACGUG
rnacentral:rRNA from 1 species